rnacentral:rRNA from 1 species
CCUACGGAGUGCUGCCGUCGAGAAUCAUUCACAAUGGGGGAAACCCUGAUGGUGCGACGCCGCGUGGGGGAAUGAAGGUCUUCGGAUUGUAAACCCCUGUCAUGUGGGAGCAAAUUAAAAAGAUAGUACCACAAGAGGAAGAGACGGCUAACUCUUUGCCAGCAGCAGCGGUAAUACAGAGAUCUCACGCUGUGAUCGGCAUCACUUGGCGUAAAGCGUGCGUACGCUGUUUCGUAAGUCGUGUGUGAAAGGCGGGGGCACAACCCGCGGACGGCACAUGAUCCUGGGAGACUAGAGUAAUGGAGGGGGAACCGGAAUUCUCGGUGUAGCAGUGAAAUGCGUAGAUAUCGAGAGGAACACUCGUGGCGAAGGCGGGUUCCUGGACAUUAACUGACGCUGAGGCACGAAGGCCAGGGGAGCGAAAGGGAUUAGAUACCCCAGUAGUC